CCUACGGGUGGCUGCAGUAGGGAAUAUUGGACAAUGGGUGCGAGCCUGAUCCAGCCAUGCCGCGUGCAGGAAGAAGGCGUUAUGCGUUGUAAACUGCUUUUGCCAGGGGAUAAAAUAACUGUGCGCAGUUGAUUGAAGGUACCUGGUGAAUAAGCCACGGCUAACUACGUGCCAGCAGCCGCGGUAAUACGUAGGUGGCAAGGGUUGUCCGGGUUUAUUGGGUUUAAAGGGUGCGUAGUAAGCCCGUGGUGAAAUAUCUCAGCUUAACUGAGAGGGUGCCAUUGAUACUGCGGGGCUUGAGUACAGAUGAGGUAGGCGGAACUGACGGUGUAGCGGUGAAAUGCAUAGAUAUCGUCAAGAACACCGGUAGCGAAGGCAGCUUACCAAGCUGUAACUGACGCUGAGGCACGAGAGUGUGGGGAUCAAACAGGAUUAGAUACCCCAGUAGUC
rnacentral:rRNA from 1 species